rnacentral:hammerhead_ribozyme from 1 species
AUUCAAUUGACGAGUCCGAAAUAGAACGAAACACUUGUCCAAGAU